GAGGCGGGAGGAAGCCCAGCCUGACGUCAGGAAACUUUCUCGGUGGCUGAGCCGGGAGCUCGCGGAGCCGCUUCUUUCCCUGGGUGCCUCGCAGGGGCCGGCCCCGGCUGCCACCCUCCAUCACUCCGCAAGUCACAGAUGCAGAGUGCAGCUUGUCUCAAAGGCAGUGCCAGUAGAUGAGACAGACGCUUCUUGGAAUGAUCCCCACUGAGCUUUGGCACUUGUAACAGAUCCACAGACAUAAGAUGGAUUCUUCAGUCUUUGGCACUCGAUACAUUCUGCUCUGGAGAUCAAAUGCGAAAGCUCAGCCAUAUAUCACUGGAUCAGAUAUUUGGCUGGGUAAAUCUGUCAUCCUGCCAUGUCUCAGUAAUUUGUGCA